rnacentral:lncRNA from 1 species
AAAAAAAAAAAAAAACUUGAAGUAGAAUUUGAGAAGCUUGGUUUGUGCAAGAUGAGGAGGUGGGUGAGAGUAGUAGGUGAAAAUCAAGAGAGAAGAUGUAGAAGAGGAAAGAGGAGGAUAGCUAUUAUGCCCACUUGUUUUUUUAACAAGCUUCUGUUUCUGUGAGGAAGAAGGGAUGAGUAGGGGAUUGGGAGAGCUUGGCUUUGCUUUGCUUUGCUUGACAUUGCAUCUUCUUCCACUUAGGUAAUUGGAGGACCCACAUGGUCCCAACCUCAAUUAUCAUUUUCUCCACCAAUCUCCUUCUCAUAGAUGCUCUCCAAAGCUGUAUGACAAUAAAAUCUCUUUCCAUUUCUUUCUUCAAGGAUUCAUAUGGGAAGAAUUUACCAAUCAUCCCCUCUUCUUUUCAACAUUCAAUGCAAUUUGCUCAGUUGCUGCCUUUGGUAAAUCAAUAAUCUAAGAGGACAAGAUGUGAUUGGUCUAGUCUAGUGUAUGCAAUGCAAAUGCAUUAUUUCUUUUUUCUUUCUUUUAGGUAUAAUUCAAUGCCUAUAAUGCUUUCUUUCUUUAGAAAAUUUGUAUGCCUCAUUUUUCUUUGUUUUAUAAUUU